AUGACCAAUCUUUAUCCUCAGAGAAGUCGCACCCUGCUCCAGAUUCUUCUCGGUGUGCAGUGUGAGGUGAAGCAGGUGGAGCCUGGGGGAGGCUUGGUGCAGCCUGGAGGAGCUCUGAAACUCUCGUGUGCAGCCUCUGGAUUCACCUUCAGUGAUUUCUACAUGGACUGGGUCCAUCAGGCUCCAGGGAAGGGGCUGGAGUGGGUUGCUCACAUUAGAAACAAAGCUAAUAGUCACACCACAGAAUACAAUGCAUCUGUGAAAGGCAGAUUCACCAUCUCCAGAGAUGAUGACAAGAACAUGCUUUAUCUGCAAAUGAACAGCCUGAGAGAUGAAGACACAGCCAUGUAUUAA